GGCAUAUGAAAUUCCCAGGCUGAGUACCACAUGGGAACUACAGCUGCCAACCAACACCACAGCCGCAGUAACAUGGGAUCUGAGCUGCAUCUGCAACCUACUCCACAGCUUACUGCAGCGCUGGAUCCUUAAACCACUGAGAAAGGCCAUGGAUUGAAACCACAUCUUCAUGCAUCCUAGUCAGGUUCAUUAACCACUGAGGCACAAAGGCAACUCCUGCAGCUCUCAAAAGUCUAUGGCCCUGCAGGAUCAAGAUGGCAGAGGAAUAAGAUGUGGCAUUUACCUUUUCCCACAAACACAUCCAAAAAACCCAUCUACAUGUAGAACGAUUUGUACAGAACUUGUACUGAACACUGGCAGAAGACCUUAAACCUCAAAGAAAGGGGAAGAAAGCCUCCACCUAACUGGGUAUAACAAAUGCAGAAAUGAGAGAGAGAAAGGAAUCAGGACAGGACUAAAACUCCUGAGAGGGAGCUGUGAAAGAGGAAAGGAACCCACACCCUGGGACUGAUGGGGAGAUCAGCCAAGAUGGAGGGAUCUCGAAGCCUCCAGGAAACAUGCAACAGCUGAACUGAGGAGGGCAAUGCAGACAGAGAGCUGCUCAGAUGGUCAGUACCACCUCCAAGGACACCACAGCUUGAGUCAAGUGGCAGGGGCCUGGGUGCUGAGACUCAGGCUGAGGAGGUCAGUACUGGGGACAGGACUAGGGUUGGCUGUGUGGAGACAAUAUGAAGGGUUAGGGAUUGGUGUGCCAAGGACUAGGGAGUGGAUCACCAGAUCUGAGGCACCCUGGGAGUUGGUCUGGGCCCACAUGAGAAGCAAGGUGCUAUUGUUGGGGAAGACUGGAGGAGGUGAGGUAGAUUUCCAUAGGAAUAUCUUUCUCAGUGCAUGUGUGGACUCUUGGAGGGCAAGGCUAUGGGCACCGAGGUGAUUACUACACAGGCUAUGGGCACUGGCCCCUCUUGUGUGGACUGGGGUGGUGGUGCCUCCUGCAUGGGCUAAGUGUGAUGGCAUAUCUCUUGCAUGAUCUCUGGGCAGUGGGGUCAGUCUCAGCCAUCUCAGACUCCAGAGGUGGGCAUUGCCUGCCACUGCUAGGGGUCUGUGAAUAGCCAAGAGCUGCAGCCCCACAGGUUGCCACAGAGGAGGACCCUGCAACUGAGCACCACUUGGUAUUACUCUCACUCCCCUGGGAAUGCACAUGGCCUGCUGCUGCCACUGCCAAAUGCUCCAGGCACAUUUUACACCUGCCUGAGGAUAACUGCCACUUCCCAGGGCCCAGCAACUGGGAGCAGGCUGCACCACCUUCUAUGGGUUCUUGUCAAUAUCAAUGGCCCAGCAACCAGACACUUGCUACUAGCCUGGCUCGGUGGCUCCACCUCCCUGGAAGCACACACAGCACCCUGACAAGGGGUUAACAGCCUGCACACACUAAGGAAAGAGACAGCCAUCAUUCAAACCAAAAGCAGCUUGAAAAGAAACAGUAAGCCUUUACAAAAUACCCAGAGGUGCUCUCACAUUUAAAAAGCCUUCCAAGACUUUGGGAGCUGUUUUUUCUUUAAACUCACAGAAUGAGAAAAAUAUAAGCAAAGUGAAGAAGCUCAGGAACCAUUUCUAGUUAAAAGAACAGAAAGGUUCCCCCUGAAGGAGCAAAAAAUGAAACAGACACUGACCUCUGCAGUCUAACAGAUACCAAGUUCAAAAAGGAGACAGUGAAAAUACUGAAGGAAUUAGAAUGAAUACAAAGCAAUUAAGAGUGUAUAUGAACAGUAAUGUGGAUUACUUUAGAAAGGAUCUAGAACAUAUAAGGAGGAGCCAACCAACAUGAGAAAGUUCAUUGUCAGAGACACAAGCCAAGUGAAAGGCCCUGAAGAGCAGAAUGAAUAAUGCAUAGGAAUGGCUUAGUGACUUGGAAGAUAGAAUCCUGGAAAUCAUCCAAUUAGGACAGCAGACAGAAAAACAAAUGAAAACACAUGAAAGCAGUACCAUAGACCUAUGGGAUAAGAUAAAGCUGGCCAAUCUACACAUAAUAGGGAUUCCAGAAGGAGAAGAAAAAGCAAAGGGGAUUGAAAAUAUAUUUAAAGAAAUUAUGGCUGAAAAUGUUCUAAAUCUGGAGGAAACAGAUAUCGAGAUAUAGCAAGAAGAGAGGGCCCCAGAUCAUUUGACCUCAAAUAGACCCACACCAAGACAUAUUAUAAUAAAAAUGGCAAAAGUUAAAAAGAGGAUUCUAAAGGCAUCAAGAGAGAAACAAAGAGUUAAUUGUAAGGGAACCACUCCCCCCUUAAGACUAUCAACUGUUUUCUCUCUAGAAACACUAUAGCCCAGAAGAGAGUGGCAAGGUAUAUUCAGAUAUCUAAAAGGGAAAAAUUUGCAGCCUAAAAUGCUUUUACCAGCAAGAGUAUCAUUUAAAAUAGAGGAAUUUCUCCAACCAAAAAUAACAAAAAGAGCAGAGCAAUCCUAAACCUAUUCUAAAAGAAAUACUGAAAGGGCUCCUCUAAAUAAAAAAGAACUGAGAAGAAAUAGGAUGGAGGAAACCACAAUUGCAAAGGAAUCACUUAAGCCAGUAUACAGAUCUAAAAGGAAAAAAAAAA
rnacentral:lncRNA from 1 species